GGCCUCGUGGCUCAGCUGGUAGAGCGUGCACGUGCAGAGCGUGGGUGGCGUCCAUGCGUGGGUUCGAAUCCCACCGAGGCUA
rnacentral:tRNA from 1 species